UGCAUUCACUGCUGUAAGUCGCUCUGGAUAAGAGCGUCUGCUAAAAUGACUAAAA
rfam:Salmo salar isolate Sally breed double haploid chromosome ssa17, whole genome shotgun sequence.